rnacentral:rRNA from 1 species
CAUGCAAGUCGAACGGAAAGUGCUCUUCGGAGUGACUCGAGUGGCGAACGGGUGAGUAACACGUGGGUGAUCUGCCCUGCACUUUGGGAUAAGCCUGGGAAACUGGGUCUAAUACCGGAUAGGACCACAUGCUUCAUGGUGUGUGGUGGAAAGCUUUUGCGGUGUGGGAUGGGCCCGCGGCCUAUCAGCUUGUUGGUGGGGUAAUGGCCUACCAAGGCGACGACGGGUAGCCGGCCUGAGAGGGUGUCCGGCCACACUGGGACUGAGAUACGGCCCAGACUCCUACGGGAGGCAGCAGUGGGGAAUAUUGCACAAUGGGCGCAAGCCUGAUGCAGCGACGCCGCGUGAGGGAUGACGGCCUUCGGGUUGUAACCCUCUUUCAACUACGACGAAGCGCAAGUGACGGUAGUAGUAGAAGAAGCACCGGCCAACUACGUGCCAGCAGCCGCGGUAAUACGUAGGGUGCGAGCGUUGUCCGGAAUUACUGGGCGUAAAGAGCUCGUAGGUGGUUUGUCGCGUUGUUCGUGAAAACUCACA